GCGGCUGCAGCCUCGCUCUGGUCCCUGCGGCUGGCGGCCGAGCCGUGUGUCUCCUCCUCCGCCGCCGCCAUAUUGUCUGUGUGAGGAGAGGGGAGAGCGGCCACCGCCGCUGCCGCUUCCACCACAGUUUAAAGAAAAGAGGUCUGAAACAAGGUCUUACCCCCAGCUGCUUCUGAACACAGUGACCACCAGAUCUCCAAACAUCAAGUCCACCUUCGUUCGCCAACCUGUCUGACAUGUCGGGACCCGUGCCAAGCAGGGCCAGAGUUUACACAGAUGUUAAUACACACAGACCCCGAGAGUACUGGGAUUAUGAGUCACACGUGGUGGAGUGGGGUAAUCAAGAUGACUACCAGCUGGUGCGAAAAUUAGGCCGGGGUAAAUACAGUGAAGUGUUUGAAGCUAUCAACAUCACAAAUAAUGAAAAAGUUGUUGUUAAAAUUCUCAAGCCAGUAAAGAAGAAGAAAAUCAAGCGUGAAAUAAAGAUUUUGGAGAAUUUACGAGGCGGUCCCAAUAUCAUCACACUGGCAGACAUUGUAAAAGACCCUGUGUCACGAACCCCUGCCUUGGUUUUUGAACACGUAAACAACACAGACUUCAAGCAAUUGUACCAGACGUUAACAGACUAUGAUAUUCGAUUUUACAUGUAUGAGAUUCUGAAGGCCCUGGAUUAUUGUCACAGCAUGGGAAUUAUGCACAGAGAUGUGAAGCCCCAUAAUGUCAUGAUUGAUCAUGAGCACAGAAAGCUACGACUAAUAGACUGGGGUUUGGCUGAGUUUUACCAUCCUGGCCAAGAAUAUAAUGUCAGAGUUGCUUCCCGAUACUUCAAAGGUCCUGAGCUACUUGUAGACUAUCAGAUGUACGAUUAUAGUUUGGAUAUGUGGAGUUUGGGUUGUAUGCUGGCAAGUAUGAUCUUCCGGAAGGAGCCAUUUUUCCACGGACAUGAUAAUUAUGAUCAGUUGGUGAGGAUAGCCAAGGUUCUGGGGACAGAAGAUUUAUAUGACUAUAUUGACAAAUACAACAUUGAAUUAGAUCCACGUUUCAAUGAUAUCUUGGGCAGACACUCCCGUAAGCGAUGGGAACGCUUUGUCCACAGUGAAAACCAGCACCUUGUCAGUCCUGAGGCCUUGGAUUUCUUGGACAAGCUGCUGCGAUAUGACCACCAGUCACGGCUUACCGCAAGAGAGGCCAUGGAGCACCCCUAUUUCUAUACUGUUGUGAAGGACCAGGCUCGAAUGGGCUCAUCUAGCAUGCCGGGGGGCAGUACGCCUGUCAGCAGCGCCAAUAUGAUGUCAGGGAUUUCUUCAGUGCCAACCCCUUCACCCCUUGGACCUCUGGCAGGCUCACCAGUGAUUGCUGCGGCCAACCCCCUUGGGAUGCCUGUUCCAGCUGCCGCAGGCGCUCAACAGUAAUGGCCCCUUCUGUCUCCUGAUGCCUGAGCAGAGGUGGGGGAGUCCGCGCUCUCCUUGAUGCAGCUUGCGCCUGGCGGGGAGGGGUGAAAUACUUCAGAAGCACCGUGUCUGAACCGUUGCUUGUGGAUUUAUAGUAGUUCAGUCAUAAAAAAAAAAAUUAUAAUAGGCUGAUUUUCUUUUUUUUUUUUUCCUUCUUUUUUUUAACUCGAACUUUUCAUAACUCAGGGGAUUCCCUGAAAAAUUACCUGCAGGUGGAAUAUUUCACGGACAAAAUUUUCCCCCCCUUUCAAAUUCAGUUUCUCAUCACUAAAGAACAAAGAUGAACCAGCCUCAAUCCCGGCUGCUGCAUUUGGGUGGAGAUAUCUUCCCAUGUCCACCAUUGCUCCCCCACCAUCCCACACUAUGGGGGGUUUAUAUCUCAUGCUCUUCUCCAGAGAUUACAAAAAUGUUUUAGCUUCUUCAAGGGAGGUGGGAAGGAAGGAGGAAGGGAGGGCCCAAGCUACAAGAGCAGUGUACUGCUGGUCACUUUUCUCACACUACUCCAAGUGCUUCAGUGGGGUUGUCCUGGUGAAUCUCGUGGAAAUAUGUCUUAGUUUCAUUGAGAUGCUGAAAAUCUACCCAAAGUGCAGACAGGUCCUGAAAACGUCUGUUCAGUAUGAAUCAUGUCUUAUUGACCUAACCCUAAAUCCAGCUCACUUCUACUUUUAAUUCCAGUUCAGUUUAAGAUUAUAAUACCUUCCCUCCUGGGCUCCUUACCUUGGCCCUCUCCCCUGUCGUCUCCCUAUGUGCUCUAUAGCUGGGGGGAGGGAGAGGAAAAUUCUUUUUCAGUUUUCUUUGACUUGGCCAUUUUGAAUUCAGUUAGUUACUGGGCUUAACUUAUUGCUUUUUACAAAAGAAAAACAUUGUCUAUAUAGGUUUCAUGCUAGCAACUCUUUAAGAGCUAAUGGAAGAUGUGGCCACGCCGAGUUUCAUCUUAAGCUUUCUACCUUCUUUUCUUCCUUUCUUCCCCUUCCUUCACAUGCCAUCCAGUGAGAAGACCUGCCCCUCAGUCUUGUAAAUGUAUCUGAGAGGUAGGAGCAGAGCCACUAUCUCCAGUGAAACUGAAAUGGUAGACCUGUAAUUGUGGGAAAACUAUAAACUCUCUUGUUACAGCCCUGCCACCCCUUGCUGUGUGUAUAUAUAUAAUACUUUGUCCUUCAUAUGUGAAAGAUCCAGUGUUGGAAUUCUUUGGUGUAAAUAAACGUUUGGUUUUAUUUAUCAAGGUUAGAUUUAAGUUCCCUGUGUAAAGGUCUCGCUGGGUGGGUGUCUCACGUUCACAUCUGAGGGGCCUGCAACCCUGUACCGUGGAGGCUUCCCAAGGCCCCCAUUUUUAUACAUCCCCUCAUUCGACCCAUGGUACCGGGCAGGGCAGAGAGGCCUUAAAAAAGCACCACAAGCCAAAGCGUCUCUGGGGAUUAAGGAUCCUUUGCCAUAAAACUCAUUUUGUGUCUCAGCAGUGCAGGGAUUGGGGAUGGAAAAGUCGCCAGUUUUUGUGUGUUUGUGUGUGUGUAAAGUGGAUUUUCCACUGUAAUCCAACCACCUAAGUUUAUCAGGUGCUUCACUGAGGAAGCCUAGUUUUUUAAGCACAAUAGCAAAACCAUCAGCUCUGUAUUUCUCCUGUUUCAUUACAGUAGCUGCUUGUGGGAACUAGGAAAAAUUCUUCCAACAUAUUUGAAGGCCUAAAGUCUUAGUUCCCCUUUCUCCUACCUUUAUAGAUCAUAAGCCUUUCUCGCCUGGGCGCCAUAGACAAGCAUAAUUGUUUCACGAGUUGAAUUUAAUGAACUUAUCUAACUUUAUAACCCAUCUUGGCUCUAGUAACUUGAUCAAGGUGGUGGCUUUCGUGAAUAUAACGGUAAACUUUAGAGGAAGCUAAAGCCUCCUUUUAUAAUGCUUCUCAACCAUAGGGAAAACAUGCCACACACACCCUGUGUGGCAGGGUGAUUUUCUUUCUUGUGGCCACUUAACAGUGGAUAUUUAUUGUUCUUGACCCUUUUAUGCCCUAGAAUGCUGUGGGGGUUACCAUGUUGAAUUUGUGCAGAAGCUAAAAGCACCGGAUGUGCCAGAGAUGCAAUUUGUGAUUACGUUUGCACUGGAUUGUGAUUUGAACAGGACACUUACGACUAAUGAAUUCUUUCUUUUGAGGUGGGGAGGAGGGUUGUAAAUCGAGACUUCACAUCCCACCCUUAGAGCUCAGAGAAUGUUGUGGCUGAGGUUGAUGUGG